GACGAACGCUGGCGGCGUGCUUAACACAUGCAAGUCGAACGGUAAGGCCCUUCGGGGUACACGAGUGGCGAACGGGUGAGUAACACGUGGGUGAUCUGCCGUGCACUUCGGGAUGAGCCUGGGAAACUGGGUCUAAUACCGGAUAGCACCAAUGACUGCAUGGGUGGCGGUGGAAAGCUUUUGCGGUGUGGGAUGGGCCCGGGGCCUAUCAGCUUGUUGGUGGGGUGAUGGCCGACCAAGGCGACGGCGGGUAGCCGGCCUGGGAGGGUGACCGGCCACACUGGGACUGAGAUACGGCCCAGACUCCUACGGGAGGCAGCAGUGGGGAAUAUUGCACAAUGGGCGCAAGCCUGAUGCAGCGACGCCGCGUGAGGGAUGACGGCCUUCGGGUUGUAAACCUCUUUCAGCACCGACGAAGCGCAAGUGACGGUAGGUGCAGAAGAAGGACCGGCCAACUACGUGCCAGCCGCCGCAGUAA
rnacentral:rRNA from 1 species